UAAGUGUAAGAAAGACUUCUAACCUUAAACCAGCAUAUUAUGCUACACUUAACC
rnacentral:tRNA from 1 species